AAUAGAUACCCCGGUAGUCCUAGCCGUAAACGAUACUCGCUAGGUGUCGGCCACGGUGCGACCGUUGUCGGUGCCGUAGGGAAGCCGUGAAGCGAGCCACCUGGGAAGUACGGCCGCAAGGCUGAAACUUAAAGGAAUUGGCGGGGGAGCACCACAACGGGUGGAGCUUGCGGUUUAAUUGGAUUCAACGCCGGAAAUCUUACCGGGACCGACAGCAAUAUGAAGGCCAGGCUGAAGACUUUGCCGGAUUAGCUGAGAGGUGGUGCAUGGCCGUCGUCAGUUCGUACUGUGAAGCAUCCUGUUAAGUCAGGCAACGAGCGAGACCCACGCCCACAGUUGCCAGCGUACUCUCUGGAGUGACGGGUACACUGUGGGGACCGCCGCUGCUAAAGCGGAGGAAGGAAUGGGCAACGGUAGGUCAGUAUGCCCCGAAUAUCCCGGGCUACACGCGAGCUACAAUGGUUGUACAAUGGGUAUCUACCCGGAAAGGGACGGAAUCUACCUAAACCAAUCUUAGUUCGGAUUGAGGCUGCAACUCGCCCUCA
rnacentral:rRNA from 1 species